AUUGAACGCUGGCGGCAUGACUAACACAUGCAAGUCGAGCGGAGCGGCGGACGGGUGAGUAAUGACUAGGAAUAUGCCUGGUAGUGGGGGAUAACAUCCGGAAACGGGCGCUAAUACCGCAUAUUAUCAAAGGAGUCUAGGUCGGCUUAGCUAGUGGGUGGGGUAAAGGCCUACCAAGGCGACGAUCCGUAACUGGUCUGAGAGGAUGAUCAGUCACACUGGAACUGAGACACGGUCCAGACUCCUACGGUAGGCAGCAGUGGGGAAUAUUGGACAAUGGGCGAAAGCCUGCUCCAGCCAUGCCGCGUGUGUGAAGAAGGUCUUCGGAUUGUAAAGCACUUUAAGUUGGGAGGCGUUACCAACAGAAUAAGCACCGGCUAACUUCGUGCCAGCCGCCGCGGUAAUUC
rnacentral:rRNA from 1 species